ensembl:lncRNA
GCCCACCUUACUCUAUCAAAACUGGUCCCAAGAGAUAAAAACCUCCCACUGUUUUGAUCAGAUACUUCUUCUGAUUGGCAGAUAAGAAUUGGAAUGAAGCAGGGCUGAGGGGGUCACCUGGUCUGCAGCAGCUUCCCAGAAGCACACGUGACAACAAAGUGUGUUCAGCAGCAGCUUCCCAUCAUGACCCCCUAUUUGCACACUGAGAACUUUCCAAAAUUGGGUUGCAAUUUCUCAGAUUUGGUCUCUGCCUGAAGGUAGAAGAGGAAGUUGAGUAAAAUCCCUUCAGACCUUCUGAAACAAGAACAGAAUGAAAAAUUGCAUUUUCCUAUUGUAAUAAAAAUUCUAACCAUUUUGUUCUUCGUAAAACUGCUUGAAAUUUGAAGAAUGGCAUAGCUAUAAUUCUCAUCACAGGCCAGACCCAAAGCAAGCUGAGGUCAACAAUUCAUGGCUGAUCUCCCUUGAUUUUGCCUGGCUCUGACAAACAUCCUACAGAUCCUUGCUCCAUGAAUAAUCUCCUCGAAGAAAAUAUCCACAAGCAGACGAACGGACAUCUUUAGGACUCCAGCCAUGACAAUACAUCAACAACAACAUCGUCAAAACGUAGUGCUAAAAUCAAAAGCACCGUUGUGUUCUACUGCUCUGUGAAAAUGCCUCCGAGACCCACUGUGGACUACUGACAUAACCAGUGAGGGAGGAAGGAACCAAUUCAAAGCUUGCUGAUGUAAAGGAAAGUCCACUCAUUUCUAUGGCCUUGAGUUGGACUUGGAUCAGGCCCUGGAAGAAUAAGGAUGACAUAAAAAUAACAUGACGCGUGCCAGAUUCACCAAUAUGCUCUGAUGUUUUGCCCGGCCCAAUGAUGCAAAGCAGAUGGAGCGUACUGACAAUCCUGGCCCACUUCAAUCAGUUAUUCCGUCUCUCGUAUUAGUUUUCAUCAGGCGUUUUAUUCAUGGCAUAAAUACAUUUAUCUCAUUAGUGCUUCUGCUACAGAAUUUCAGAAGAAAGAUCACCACUUUUUAGCUUUAUCAGAGAAAAACGCGCUGUGCUUUCUCACCUGUUCACUACCAAUUUGCAAUGGGGUUUCUAAGACGCUCAUUAGCUCAUCCCUGAGUUUUGCUGUGCUUCCUUGGGGCUUACAGUUAAGUGAGUUUUGUUGUCUUUCACUGCCGUAAUCCCUCCACCCAAACAAAUCACAACUGCACAGGUUCCAUAGUUGUACCCUCAAAUAAGACAUUAAGACAAUCAUUUUGCAAAGUACUUGUGCUCACCUUUAAGUUUAAACAGAUGUUUAAAUCAUAUCAAAGCUACCCCAAAAUAAGCGUUUAUAUAUUUUACUGAACCAAUGCCAGAAGAUGCAUUUAACAGAAACUAGCCUGCUAUAAAAAUUACCCUGCUCUGUCUCUACCUCGCCUAUUACUACAGAAAAAAAGGCUGAAAUCCACGGGGGAAUAUUUACACAUGAAAUGCUUUUGCACUCGGUGUCUCAGCAAACAGAAAAGGCAUGCUUUGACUAACAUUAUAUGUCAGCAACAAGGGUCUAAUACUGAGUUUUUAGUAUGCAUGGUUAUUAUAAAUACAGGCAUUAAUGUACAUUAAAAGCUACUGAACUACUGAGAACUUAAGUAGAUUGGAUGGUGUCCCUCAAAAUGAAAUAAUCUAUAUUUGGCUGGUAAUUCAUUUCUUCUGAGAGGGUAUUUGCUUGACUCUGCACAUAUUCCUCAUUGCAGAAAUAGCUCGGGUGAUUGCUGCCUGGCUCUAACCUCUAGCCAGCUAACCCGGGAGUAAGCGUUAGUGCUGAAAGGCCAAAUCUGAGUUUCCAUAUCCCCACUGGAUACAUCUCCAAAAAAAUGUCCCAAACAACCUGGAUUACAGCUGCACUAUUCAGAGCUUGCUCACUGGCAUGGGGAUCUGAAUGUAUCCAAAUUCUCCCCCUGAAGAAAAAGUAUUAUAACACUCAUCAUAUCUCACUUGUCAUCUGUCCGGACUGUAAAUGGAUUUGAGGCAGGAACUGUCUCUCUCUGUCUACAACAGCCCCACCACAGUCAAGUUCUAGCCAUGUCUGAAACAUCACACAUCAUAACUCUUCUUCCUUUGGACUGAACUGCAGUUUUGCCAUGUUUAAUUUUGUCCUAUCACUCCUAACGUUAUAGCACUUGGCCAUACUUCCUCACUCCUCCAUUCUGUUUAUUUGUAGAAAGGAAGAAAUGCCACAGGAUAAUGGUUUUGUGCAGGCUUAGGCAGAGUCAAGAUAUUGCUGGAAAACAAACACUGAGAAAGAGCUGAGACGUUUAUUUUCCUGUCGGGACGCAGUGAUGCUAAGAUGAUGUCCUACCAACAGCACAUUUCAACAUUGCUGCACCGGUACCACCUCUAGACCCAACUGACCAGUGGGAGCCCAGCUAUACAGCCCUUCAAGUAGGCUUGCAAGCCCUAGACUUGGUAACUUCAUACAAGAUGCAAUGCAGGUGAGGUGGAUAAAUGGCUAAAACUCAAAGGAACUCCCCUAAAUAGACCUGAAGGGUCCAAGUCUGCUUUCCUUUACUAUGUGAAGGAAUGGACCGCUGGCAAGCGACAAGGAUGUGGUGCUUCUGUGUAAGCUAACAACACAACCACUACCUCAAGGAACUCACUGAUUCUGAAGCAAUCCAUCCAUGAGAGUGAUUUCCCAAGCUAUCUCUACAAAAAGUCCUUCUUCUGGCUUCCACCGUGCCUCGUCCCACUCCUAGGCACUAUGGAAAAAGAAGAAAAGGGCUAGGAAAACAUCUCUGCAUGAGAAGUGAGCUAUGCUGCCAACCCUGCUCAAUUUGAAAGCCAGUCCUUGCCCCAGCUGCUUCACUGGCUCCUGCCAUACACCACAGCCAUGUGUAUUUAUCUACCUUGUUUAUUUUUGGAGGCAGAAUGUAUUUUACAUGUUUUGUAUGACCUAGGGUAAAACAGCAUCCUCCCAGGCUCUCCAUCUAGACAGGCCAGUAAAACAACUAUCCGUAGUUUCCAUGAAGACUGCCCAGUAGCAAGAAAAGCACUACCAAGAGGUCAUUCAAAAGCACUUGAAAACAGCCACUGGGGCAGAUUUAACAGGCUGCAAUGUAGGGUCUGUAAAACAUGUUUGAUGGAGCAUUUUACAUUGCUUUAAAUUUGGAAUUCUUUGGAGAGCAUUUGAGGAUUUUUAAGAAACAAACACAAUCCUCUUCCUCCACACACAUACACAUAGACACAAAAAGCUUCUUCAUCGAGCAGGAAGUCGGCAUCCUGAGGCUCUGACCUCAGCUCACUCCUCAAAUUUAUCAACCAUGUUACAGAAUCAGGGCACACUGAGCAAUAUUUGGGAAAUGGGCUAGGGUGGGACUUCCUUUCCUCUUCUUUCCCUUCCUUUCCCUUUUCCCUUCCUUCCCUCUCCUUUCCCUUUUCCUUUUCCCUUCAUUUCCUUCCCGUCCCUCUCCAUCUAGGGUAUUCAAGUAAGCUGGGAUGUGGCUUGGAAAGGAUCUAACAAGAGCUCUCAGCUCACUAAAAUGAGGUGCAGUGGUGGUAUCUUAAUUGGAUACUUGGAGUUCCUUUCCCUGGGGUAGAUUCUCGGAAUAUUUUGAGGUUGUCUCUUUGGAAAUAUAUAAUAAAAAGGUAUUUUUGCUG